AUUGAACGCUGGCGGCAGGCCUAACACAUGCAAGUCGAACGGCAGCACAGGAGAGCUUGCUCUCUGGGUGGCGAGUGGCGGACGGGUGAGGAAUGCAUCGGAAUCUACUCUUUCGUGGGGGAUAACGUAGGGAAACUUACGCUAAUACCGCAUACGACCUACGGGUGAAAGCCGGGGACCUUCGGGCCUGGCGCGAAUGAAUGAGCCGGUGCACGAUUAGCCAGUUGGCGGGGUAAGAGCCCACCAAGGCGACGAUCGGUAGCUGGUCUGAGAGGGUGAUCAGCCACACUGGAACUGAGACACGGUCCAGACUCCUACGGGAGGCAGCAGUGGGGAAUAUUGGACAAUGGGCGCAAGCCUGAUCCAGCCAUACCGCGUGGGUGAAGAAGGCCUUCGGGUUGUAAAGCCCUUUUGUUGGGAAAGAAAAGCAGUCGGUUAAUACCCGAUUGUUCUGACGGUACCCAAAGAAUAAGCACCGGCUAACUUCGUGCCAGCCGCCGCCGUAAAAC
rnacentral:rRNA from 1 species